rnacentral:rRNA from 1 species
UACGAGGGGGGCGAGCGUUGUUCGGAAUUACUGGGCGUAAAGGGCGCGUAGGCGGCUUAACAAGUCACUUGUGAAAUCUCCGGACUUAACUCGGAACGGCCAAGUGAAACUGUCAAGCUAGAGUGCAGAAGGGGCAAUCGGAAUUCUUGGUGUAGCGGUGAAAUGCGUAGAUAUCAAGAGGAACACCUGAGGUGAAGACGGGUUGCUGGGCUGACACUGACGCUGAGGCGCGAAAGCCAGGGGAGCAAACGGG